AGUCGCCUACAUCAGCCGGAAACUGUUCCCCAGAGAGGUUCGAUAUUUGACGGUGGAGAAGGAGGCACUGGCUAUCAAGUGGGCCCUUGAUUCCUUCCGGUACUACCUUCUUGCUCAAGAGUUCACCUUGGAGACGGAUCACAAGGCCCGUUUGUCCCCCACAAGAGAAUCCUUCUCACCAGGGCUUUGGUAGAGAAACCAUCCAGUGGUGACGAGAAGACGUACCACUAUCUCCUCACACAGAAAUACGAGGGAAAAUACGUACACCCAUUUU